GACAGAGGGGGCAAGCGUUGCUCGGAAUCACUGGGCGUAAAGCGCACGUAGGCGGAUUUCUAAGUCAGGGGUGAAAUCCUGGAGCUCAACUCCAGAACUGCCUUUGAUACUGGGAAUCUCGAGUCCGGGAGAGGUGAGUGGAACUGCGAGUGUAGAGGUGAAAUUCGUAGAUAUUCGCAAGAACACCAGUGGCGAAGGCGGCCCACUGGCUCGAUACUGACGCUGAGGUGCGAAAGCGUGGGGAGCAAACAGG
rnacentral:rRNA from 1 species